rnacentral:rRNA from 1 species
GAUGAACGCUGGCGGCGUGCCUAACACAUGCAAGUCGAGCGGGGUGAUGGUGCUUGCACUAUCACUUAGCGGCGGACGGGUGAGUAAUGCUUAGGAAUCUGCCUAUUAGUGGGGGACAACAUCUCGAAAGGGAUGCUAAUACCGCAUACGUCCUACGGGAGAAAGCAGGGGAUCACUUGUGACCUUGCGCUAAUAGAUGAGCCUAAGCCGGAUUAGCUAGUUGGUGGGGUAAAGGCCUACCAAGGCGACGAUCUGUAGCGGGUCUGAGAGGAUGAUCCGCCACACUGGGACUGAGACACGGCCCAGACUCCUACGGGAGGCAGCAGUGGGGAAUAUUGGACAAUGGGGGGAACCCUGAUCCAGCCAUGCCGCGUGUGUGAAGAAGGCCUUAUGGUUGUAAAGCACUUUAAGCGAGGAGGAGGCUCUUUUGGUUAAUACCCAAGAUGAGUGGACGUUACUCGCAGAAUAAGCACCGGCUAACUCUGUGCCAGCCGCCGCAGUAA